rnacentral:rRNA from 1 species
GACGAACGCUGGCGGCGUGCCUAAUACAUGCAAGUUGAGCGCUGAAGGUUGGUACUUGUACCAACUGGAUGAGCAGCGAACGGGUGAGUAACGCGUGGGGAAUCUGCCUUUGAGCGGGGGACAACAUUUGGAAACGAAUGCUAAUACCGCAUAAAAACUUUAAACACAAGUUUUAAGUUUGAAAGAUGCAAUUGCAUCACUCAAAGAUGAUCCCGCGUUGUAUUAGCUAGUUGGUGAGGUAAAGGCUCACCAAGGCGAUGAUACAUAGCCGACCUGAGAGGGUGAUCGGCCACAUUGGGACUGAGACACGGCCCAAACUCCUACGGGAGGCAGCAGUGGGGAAUCUUCGGCAAUGGACGAAAGUCUGACCGAGCAACGCCGCGUGAGUGAAGAAGGGUUUCGGAUCGUAAAACUCUGUUGGUAGAGAAGAACGUUGGUGAGAGUGGGAAGCUCAUCAAGUGACGGUAACUACCCAGAAAGGGACGGCUAACUACGUG